rnacentral:tRNA from 1 species
GGUACAUAGCUCAAUGGCACAGCAUCUGCCUGGCAAGCAGAAGGUUAUGAGUUUGAUUCCCAGUACCA